UCGAACUUUACGUGGCCGCACCUGUGGUUCGUAAACAGCGUUGGUUAAUCUGCCUUCAGGUCGGAAUAUACUCAUGGAAACUUUAGCUAAUCCGUAUAAUCAUUCCAUCCAGAGCUUUUCCCUGAGGAUGAGCCCGCGUCGGAUUAGCUUUUGGUGGGGUAAAAGACCUCCCCAGGGGCGUUCCUGUAGCUGGUCUGGGAGGAUGCCUCAGCCACACUGGGACUGAGACGCGGCCCAGACUCCUACGGGAGGCAGCAGUGGGGAAUAUUGGACAAUGGGCGAAAGCCUGAUCCAGCAAUGCCGCGUGAGUGAUGAAGGCCUUAGGGUUGUCUGCUCUUUUACCCGGGAUGAUAAUGACA
rnacentral:rRNA from 1 species